UCAAACGGCCAUAGGAACGGGGAAACGCCCAAACACAUACCGAACUUGGAAGCUAAGCCUGUUCACGAUAUGCAAUACUGCCCUAACGGGUGGGAAAGCAUAUUGCUGUUUGGC
rnacentral:rRNA from 1 species